AGAUCCUUCAUGCGUGGCUGGCCUUGGAAGUAUACUGCUUCUUGGUAGAGGCAAUAAAAUGUUACACAUGCAGCAAACACCCGGGUGCUGACGUGUGGUACGUCAAGAACUGCUCGGCGUCGUUUCUUGCAAGAGACUUACAUUCUUAUCCGGCUGAUUCACCAGGGAGCUCACAUCUGUCGCCCUUCUCCAACAACAUAUCUAGGGCGAAGAGAAGACACCAAUGAAAGUGGACAUAUGCAAGCAGAGUGAGAACAGAACGGAGUGGGAGGAUGAACAGGAAACGUGGGUGGCAUUUCUUUAGUCUUCUUCUUGCCUGAACAAAAAAAAAAAAAGAGUGCACCAGAAAUGUACAACGUUUCAUAUGUCGCUAAAUACCAUUAAAAAAGCUUCCUGUCGACAAUCGAAAGGCGAGAUUUUUGUGUCCUCAUUGCGACAUACUUGUCGCGUUAAUUUUGGAACAAAGAUCACGCGUCAACUGCGUUUGCCCGCCUUCUAGUCUUGCGUGCAGCAUUUAGACACUUACGUGGCACUUAGCAGAGCUCUGUGAGCUGUCCACAAAUGUUACGAUCGGGUGCGGCGUUCACGCUUGCGUGUGCGCACGAUUUAUGGCUUGCAUUA